UCUCACCUGCCACAUCUGAGAUCUACAUAUGGCUACAGCAUGGUUGUAUCAAUGCUGCAAAAUAGCUCCGAUUGAGCUUCCUUGCUGUAGACAUGGGUAGACUCUCCAUUUCAGCACCAUUCUC
rnacentral:precursor_RNA from 14 species